ACAGCAGGAUGAACGCAGACAAAACGACAGACGAGAAAUACCUUUGUUAUGGAUGUGGAAAUAAGAGAUGGAUAGACCCUUCAGUGACAUUUGAUCAACGCACAAUGUCUAAACUGCAGAUUUUAAGUGUUUUUCUGACAGAGAGAUUAACAUUAGCUGCGCAGGAGAUAUUUAAGGCUGUGGAAGACAUCUUUUCAGAGUAUAAUGAGGAGAUUUGUCGCUCCAGACUGGAGAUUGAGCUGCUCAAGAGGAGACUGCAGCAGGCAGGAGUUCAGAUGGACUCUGUAACACAGCUUUGCUCCACUGAGACUCAAGGACAGAAAUACACCCAGACAUUUUCAGAGGAAUGGAGAUCUGAACAUGACUUGAAGGAUACUGCAAUGCAUAUGAUCCUAGAUAUUUGUACAAAGGAGGAGGAGAAUGAAGAGGACAUGCCUGUGUGCGGUGAAUCAGCAUCUUUAUCACCAUGUGUGGACAUUUAUCAUGAUCAGAUGCCAAGCAAAGACACUGAAACCCAAGUGAUGGACAGCGGUGAGAAUCAUUUUCUCUUUAUUAACAAAGCAGCUCGAAUUAAGAAUGAGCCUGAGACUAAUACUGAAACAGGUACCACCUGCCAAAUACAGCAGAACAUCACAAAACAAGAUUUGGAUGAUUCAGGGGCCAGCGAUGCUUCCAGUGACGUCAACAAAGUCAAAGUUAGCCACGUUGGCUUCCCCAGACAUGAGAGACAAACAUUUAAUCUGCCCCUCAGAAAUCAAGAGAUGUUGACGCAGCAUUGGAUGGAGCUGGCCCAGAUAAGAGAGAGAAUGUCUUUGAAAAUCCAGUCCUGUCACUCUGAGUGUAAAAGUAAGAAAAGUCAACCAUCUGUCUGUCAGGAUGAAGUGUCAAAAUCUGACGAGCAGAAACCCGAAAAUGCAAGAUACAGUCAGGCCUGGAGGGAUCAUUUGAAAAAAGACCCUGUAAAAUUUGCUGAGUUCAAAGCUUUUGAAGCUGCAAGAGCAAGAGAGUAUAGAAGAAAGAGGACUGCUGCUGCUGUAGAAAUUGAUAAGGAUAAUAACCGUGAGCGACAGCGAAGAUUCAGAACCAAAAAGAAGUUACAUCAGUGCAAAGCUGAUGAUAACCCUCUGCCACCUAAAAAAACAAAAGCCUUAACAGAAGAAGAGAGGAUGAAGAAACGAGAGUAUGAUAGGAUAAAAAAAAGAGAAGAGAGAGAGAGGAUGGGAGCAGAGAAAAAAAGACAAAUUCGUGAAAGAGAUGCAUCGCGAAAGAGGGAAAAAAGAAACAAGACAAAUCUUACUGACACUCCACAUACAAAUUUUGGCUCUAAAUCGUACAGCUGGAUCUAAGUCUGCAAAACGAAUGGCAGUGUUACGGAUGAGGGAAAAAAUUCCGGCUGAUGCAGAAAAGUUGGACAUUGUAACAGACUUCAUCCAUUGCUGUGCUCCUCAUAAACAAGCAGCUUUGAAAGCUAGAGGUCUGAAAAAAGCUUGACGAUGAAUAGAUUUCGAUGGCCCGCUUCAAAAAGAACUUCAAUCCACAUUUGAAGCUCUAUAGAAGGAUACUGCAUCCUUGAAGAAGCAGAGCCUGAUUGUCACUAGUUUGUUGGUUGCCAAAAAGUACAGAAUGCAACACAUUUUAGCAAAGACGCUUUAAUCUUUGUCCAGCAUAUCUCACUAAAUUAUCAAAGUCCUCAUCCAAUGAAAGUUUACGUAAAAAACGAAGGUCUGAUAUCACUUGCAUGGAUGCUGUGAACAAUAUAGUUACUUUCUAUUGAAUCCUAAGGUAUCACAAUAACUUCCUUACAUAAAGAAACAGCAACAAAGAUUCCUCAUGAAGAUCUCUCUACAGAAGGCCUAUGAAGUCUGGAAGCUGGAAAAUCAAGAAAAUAAUGUCGCACCCUUUCCUACUUUCUCAUAGCUUCGACCUUCAUAUGUUCUUCAUCAGCAUUGGAUGGACUUGUUGUCUUGUCGCUGUGAAUAUUGUACUGGAGUUUUACUGAAGCUUUAGAGCCUGAACAGAAUUCUCACUGCUUGUAAUCGUAAUCAUAAUCAUAAUCGUUAUCCUAAAGUAUUACAAGAACUUCCUUACAAACCUGGUUAAACUAGGUGAAAUUCAGCAUGAAACUCGUUUACUCCAUUCUGUAUGGUGUGUUUCUCUUGGGGUCCUGUAUACUCGCCUGUAUUAAUGUUACUGUGGUGGGUGUAUGAAUGUUGAAGAUGGAAGCCAGUGUUCCAACUCGAAUUAUGUCCUUCCUUGGCAACGACAUGCCUUGAACUUGGAUGCUAAAAUAGUUGAUUUAUACUGGCCUGUGACUGAAGAAAAGAACACCUUACUUCAUAAUUCUACUCUAAGUGAAGACAACCAACUUCCUAAUAAACAAAAAGGUCUCUAGAUGAAACUUAACUCAGGAUUUGCAGAUAGAAAUUCUCAGGGAUUAUGCUGUCCUGUAAACCCACCCAACCAAGUGAUGCUUGAAACCAAGUGGUAGAAGUUCUUGAUGUCUCUGACGAAGGACUCCGAAUGAAGUUUCUGGAGCCACAUGGAGUCAGCAGUUUUUUUUCCUGGCCCAAGACUUAUGAUGUUGAACUAGUGGAUCCAGUCCACAUAUUUCA